GCUGCGGGGCGUAUGGGCAGUGGUUAACGCGGCUUUCUGGUGUCCGCCCCCCCUUUUUUUAAAAGGGGCACAAAUUAAUCUCUGUACUGUACUUAGACUAAAACCCCCCCACACUGUUUCCACUCUCUCAGAUGAAGGAAUCGAAAACUGCACUUGUAACGUUUCCCCAGACUCAAAGGAGUUUUGGAUUUGGCCUGUAGUUUGACAGUUCAGCUUUCAUUUUGCUUGUGUUGGCCAAAUUUACAGUGACUUAGAUAGAUAGGCAUAAAAGUUGAAUGCUAAGAAGUAUGACAUGUCUCUGUUUGUUUUUUGUUGUGUUUUUUUUAAAAACAGAUUUCAUAUGGCUUGGAUCACAAUAAUAGAUUCUUCAUGUGCAUGCUGAAAGACUGCCUCUGCUGAUGUUAUAUACUUGUCUUCCUGUUGCAAAAUCCAGAAUAGGAAUGAAUGAGCUUUGGGAUAGUCUCUAAAUGAAAAGCAAUGUUGAAGUUUAAGACUUAAGCAAAACAACCCCCCCCCCCAACCCAGCCUGAUAGGAGUCACUUUUCAGUUUUUUCGUGGGAUUCGUUCAUGUGGUUUUACUCUUUACUUGCUGUUUACAAAAGACCAAUGAGAUUUAUUUUUAAGACGGAAGAUGUUGGGUUUUGUCACAUAUACUGAUUUUGUGUUCUGAUAGCUGUUUGGAAAAGAAGUCACUUCAAGUACAGAAAUCUUGUUCUGAUUGGAUCAGGCCCCCUACUCUUGGUGCACAAUGGGAGACUAUCCCCAGGAGAGCAUACAUUUUGGACUUCUGUCAAGCAAUCCAUUGUGCGCCUAAUUGUGCAAGCCUUCUAUUGCUGAUCUCUGAGAUCUGAUCCUGUGCUUAGUAGAGUCCCUGGUGGACCUCUCGUCGAUGGAAGUGAUAGGGGAUUGCACGCUGACAGUAGUCAUAUGGAAUUUAUAACCUCUUGUGCGCACAAGUGAGGUUUGUCUAGCUUAUUGUUUCUCAGGACUUUUGUGUAGCCUCCAUUGCUUCAUCUGACUGUAUGCUUUGGAAGCCUGAAGGGUAGGUAGAGUUUUUUUUAACUAUUUAAAGCUUGUUAUAGUUUGGAAUCUCUUUUGAGUCUUCUGGUGACUACAAGGAGCUUAAUCACAGUUUGGGGAGCACUGUUUCUGUCCACUGUAGCUGCAAUUAGCUUGUGAAGUUGUUUUGUUUUUAAAAGCCUAUUUUUCCUCCCAUAAAUUCAGUUUUUACUCAGUCCAUGUUUAUUCAAAUAGAAAUGUUCUUUUCUCAGCAAGUAUAAGCAGGGGGUUAAAAUGUAAAGCUAAACUUCAUAAAGAUCAAGAUGUAAAGAUAAACUUUGAUGUUUGUAUUCUAAGAAGAAAUGCAGGCUAGACAUGUAUAUUACAAUAAAAAGAAUUACCUCUCUGAAUACA
rnacentral:lncRNA from 1 species